rfam:Oryza brachyantha chromosome 10, whole genome shotgun sequence.
CCGCUUGAUGAAGAAGACUUGGUGCAGAAUAUCAUUGCUGGAUUAGAUGAAGAUUUCAGCCCAAUCAUCUCAGCUCUCUGCACCAAGACAGAGCCAAUAACAAUUGGCGAACUCCACUCUCAACUUCUGAACUAUGAGA